GACGAACGCUGGCGGCGUGCUUAACACAUGCAAGUCGAACGUGAUUUUUGUGGAAAUUCUUUCGGGAAUGGAAAUGAAAUGAAAGUGGCGAACGGGUGAGUAACACGUGAGCAACCUACCUUACACAGGGGGAUAGCCGUUGGAAACGACGAUUAAUACCGCAUGAGACCACAGAAUCGCAUGAUAUAGGGGUCAAAGAUUUAUCGGUGUAAGAAGGGCUCGCGUCUGAUUAGCUAGUUGGAAGGGUAAAGGCCUACCAAGGCGACGAUCAGUAGCCGGUCUGAGAGGAUGAACGGCCACAUUGGAACUGAGACACGGUCCAAACUCCUACGGGAGGCAGCAGUGGGGAAUAUUGCACAAUGGGGGGAACCCUGAUGCAGCGACGCCGCGUGAGCGAAGAAGGUUUUCGAAUCGUAAAGCUCUGUCCUAUGAGAAGAUAAUGACGGUAUCAUAGGAGGAAGCCCCGGCUAAAUACGUG
rnacentral:rRNA from 1 species